UACGUAGGUGGCAAGCGUUGUCCGGAUUUACUGGGCGUAAAGCGCGUGUAGGCGGCUUGUUAAGUCUGUCGUGAAAUCUCCCGGCUUAACCGGGAUAGGUCGACGGAUACUGGCAGGCUUGAGGGGAGCAGAGGAAGGUGGAAUUCCCGGUGUAGUGGUGAAAUGCGUAGAUAUCGGGAGGAACACCAGUGGCGAAGGCGGCUCACUGGCCCGGUACUGACGCUGAGGUGCGAAAGCGUGGGGAGCAAACAGG
rnacentral:rRNA from 1 species